CAAAGCUGAAUUUUAUUAAUUAGUCCUGAAACUAACUAUUUUGAGCUUUUGGGAUUAUGUGCAGAGAGUGUAGCUCCUUGUUUUUAAAACUAAGAUUUGGGGAAUAGGUUUGUGGUGGGUUUGCCCACCUUAGAAUCUCAAACUGCACUUGGAAUAUAGGUGGGAAUUGCAGUGGUGUGACUGAGAUACUGCACUCAGGCCACCGAAUCUCCACACCUCCACCCCUGCCACUGCCCCCUGCACCCUCAUAUUUCUUGAGUGUUGAAAGUGCAUUUGUUAUCACUCUCUGCCUCAUUUUUUCAGUCUAUAGGGCUCUGGUGAAUUCUAGCCUGUUUGUGCUGUGUCUUGUGCCCUCCACUUGGAAUUUAGAAGAUGACAGAAAGAGAGAAUGAAGACAGAGACUGGUCGGCAAAGCCCUUUAUGAAGCCCAAACAAUGGAUGUUUCAUUAGGACACAGAGGAUGCUGUUUGCUAAGCAGAUCCUAUGUGGAAUAUCUGAAUGAUGGAUACCCUACUUGAUUUUUAUGGGAAAAUAAGGAUUUUCUAACUGUGAAGGGGCACAGGGUAGGGUGACCCCAUAAACUAUAAGUUUUCUUGGGACAUUCAAGUUUAUAUCCUGUCACCCACCCAGGUUAGCAUUUGUCUUUAAUUUUUUUAAGUAAAGGAUUAUUACCAAUAUAUGUAUUAAAAUACUCUGGGAUAGACUUGGAAGACCCUUAUGUUGUGUUUUCACUUCUCUCAUGGGCUUGCCUAGCAGUGUGUGAGAUGCAUGUGGAAUAAACAGAGUCCUCAUUUCAAUAAGUGGUCCAAUCUGAAAAGGAACAAUGAUGACCCAUUCUUCUAUUCCUAACUCUUUCUAGAUGCAUCCUAAAAUACCUUACAUGAUCCUCCAAUAUUCUCUCUUUCCUAUUGGAUAGAUGAGAUAAUCCACUUGAGGACUUGCAGGCUCUAAAAGAUGGUACAGCCGAUUGACAGGUGGUUCCAAGUCCCUGAAUGAAUGGAGGCAGGCGACCACUUGAUUAUGAAAAAUCAUGUGCAUCCUCAAGAAGCCAGCUGCUGUGUCAAAGGACACCCAAGCUGCCCUGUGGAAACAUCCAUGUGGUGAGGAACUGAGAACUCCUUUCAGCCACCAGCACCAACCUGCCAACAGUGCAGCAAGUGACCUUGGAAGUAGAUCCUCCAGCUACUAUCGAAGUCUUUAGAUGACCACAUCCCCAGGUGAGGCUACAAGAAGAAGGCAUCACGAGCCAAAAAGUGAGCCCUCACCAGGCACCUAAUCUCAUGAUCCUUUGAUCUUGGACCUCCCAGCCUCCAGGAAUAUACUACUGGAGUCACAGUUUGGUCUUCAAAUGAAUGAGAGCUCUGAAACAGCAGGUAUUUUAAAAUCAAGUCUGUAGGGACACGAAGAAUAUACAUGUUCAUGAGAUCUCAAGGUUGUGUACCUUCCAAUCAUUCCCGAAAUGGCUCAUGGCAUAAUUGGCACAGGUGAUCUAAAAAAUGCAAAUUUGGGUCUAAAGGUCAAGUGGCAUCCUUCAGAUGUAGUUGGCUUGGGACCCUGAAUAUGC